UCAGACGGCCAUAGGGGCCUGGCUCUACCCGAUCCCAUUUCGCACUCGGAAGUCAAGCAGGUCUCCGUUCCGUGCAGUACUGUUCUCUGAACGGGAGACACGGAAAGCUGUCACCC
rnacentral:rRNA from 1 species